GCCCUUUAAAAUACGUCUCUUGAGCUUGGAAGGUGAUAUUUCACCUCGCUGCAGUGCUCCUGCUUGUCCCUCGUUGGCCAAACAUGGCCCAGCAGCCGCUCAUUCUGUGAAAUGCUAUCUGCAGGCCGACCUCCCCUCGGAGCCCCGUGUGUGGGAGCCGCCAUCCGCCAUGCAAUUGUGCUGAUGGAGCAGCAAAGGGAGCAGAUCGCAGCCCCAGCGGUCGCUGCCCCGCUGUCCUGGACCUGCAGGGGCACGGGGGCCUUCUAAGGCUGCGCCAAGAUGCCUUCCAUCAAAACCAUUGUGUCCUGCCUCCUUACCCCUUCCUGAGAAGGGAAAUACCACUGGGCAUGGAAACACACGCAUGCAAAUAAAUCCUUGCCUGAAAGCUACGCUAGCGAAUGCGCAGUGCGCUGCUGGUCAUAAAGUUGCUUUGGACAGGGAAUAGGGGUGUGUAGAAACCCCCCUGGAUCUGCACCUCCUGUCACAAACAUCAAUGUGAGUACGUGCGUGCGGAUGUCCACAGCUUGGGGGUGCAUGUACGGAUGGGGGGUGGAUAACCAGCAGCGAGGAAGCAGUCUGCUUAUGGAAAAACAAAACACAUGAGGCUUCUGAGCAAAGCCUCUCCCAGCUGCCUGAAGCCCACUUGGUGUUCAAUCCAUUUUCUUUCCCCAGGCACGAAAUUUGGCCUCCCUAGGUAAAUAAAUGUGUACCCGUGCCCCUUUUCAUUGUGAUGAGGUCUGGAAGUUUAACCAAGGAGAACUGCAGCAAAACCAUGGCCGAAUGCUUCCCAGCAGUGAGCCCCGGCCGGGCUGCCGUGGGGUUGGGGCAGGGCGAGGGCAGAGCAGCUCUGAGUGCCUUCUGCAUUUCCAAAGGUGGGAGAUUUAGCUCGAAAAAUACCCUGUCUGUUUGUCACCUGGACGUCAAAACCGUUCCCUUUCAGCACAGCAGGUCCUCACGCCUGCAGGUCUGUGCUCAUGUGACACAGGGAAAAAUCUAACGUUAAAACCCCAAAUAUAAAAUUUGUAUUAGAUAUUUAAGGGGAACCUCUUACUUUAUAUACCUCAGGACACAUUGUCUCUGUUCUGAGAGAACGGGGGUGAAAUCCUACACGUUUCUAAAAUAAAAAAAAAAGGGGGGGGGGGGAAGAGAGAGAAAGAAAGAAAAGAAAAGAAAAAAAAACCGUUUUAAAAUUACAUUCAUGUCAGCUUUAAAAAAAAAAUUAUCGCUGAUGUCUUUUUGAGCUUGGAAAUGUAACUGUAGGAUGCAGCUCUCCCCUCCCCCUCUGCCCCUCCACCCCUCCCUUCCCAACUGAAAAAAAAAAAAAAAAAAAAAAAAGAAAGAAAAGAAAAAGCAACAGAAUAUAUAAAGCUGCUCUGAUUAACAGUUUAGGUGCAGAGCCCUAUUUAUAAGGCACACGCUCUGCUAUAACGCCUCGGUCCUGCAGCCCGGAGCGGUGCAUUAUUGAUGCAGCUGCAAGUGCUCAAAGCUUAAACACUAUUUUCCGAGAGCCCCAGCAGCCCGCCUGGGAGGAAGGUGGGGACGGGCUGGCAAUGGAGUCCUGAAUGUUACUCCUCCAGUUUCAAGGACAUCUUGCUGAUGAGGAUUUGGUUAAUGGAGGAGAACUUAUGUCCUAGCGGUGACGUCAUUGGGUCCCAAUGUAAUCCUCUUGUGCUGAACCCAAUCAGCAGAUGUGCUGAGAGCCGGGAUGCGGAGAAGAAGCUCUAAUCCCUUAGACUGGAUGAGAUCAGCUGAAACAGCCAGGACUAGACCCCAAACCCCUCUGCUAGGAAGAUCAAGAGAAAAGGGAUAAAUUGAGAGAGACGCCUCAUAACCCCUUUAAAGAGCUUUGGAGAAGAGAAGAGAAAGAUGGGUGGUGCACCAAGUUCAUCUUGCUUUUAAAGCCUAGCGGGAGCCUGGUUUUCGCUCUGAUGAGGUCCUUCUGCAUUGUUCCAGGGCAGGAGGAGAGAGGAGGAAAAAAAAAUGAGAGAAAAAGGAAAGAAAAAAAAAAAAGGAGGGAGAGAGAAAGAGAGAGAAAAAAAAAGUCUGAAAUUCAAAGAUAAUGAGAGACUAGGCGCCUUUCUUAUUCAUCUCCAGCUUGCCUACACAAAAACAGCAUCCUGAGCCACGGGAGGGCGUUUGCAUUGGAUCUGAGCGAGGCAGCAGAGUUUGUGCCGCCGGAGCCACAGCGCGCUGCUUCCACUGGACCUCACUCUUUUCUUGUGCAGAGGCUCAGAGCGCAGCCCGCUGCGCUGCGGGGUCACAACGCGGGGCCGUGGUACCGUCCCCUUUGCACCCCGACAACGCGCAGAAUUAAAUCACGAGCCCGCUUUUGCUUCUCCGAAAGCCGAAUGGGUGCAGCGACGUGAGGGGCUGCAGCAUCACAGCCGCCCCGGUGCCACCUCCGCCGCCGCGCCGUCACCGCAGCCUCAAGGUGAGACGCGGCCCCUUCCGCAGUUUCCCCGCGGCGGUUCGUAGGUUAGCCUUCAGACCUCAAUAAAUCUCUUUGUAAGACUCGUGUUUUCAGCUUCCUAAAGACACGCCGAGCCCCAAGUCCUGAGCCUCCUGAGCGCUGUACUCACGCAAGGGAAUAUCUCAUUAUUUGGCCGUGUAGCUGGAUUCAGCCGCACACCCUCCGCACCCCCUCCCCUCUUCAUCUCUGCUCCACUUUUAUCAGCAUUGCGUCUGUCCGAGGAAGUGAAUCCAUAGACAGCUCCAUCCUCCAUCCCUGCAGUGGCUGACGUGGGACGCACCACCUUGUCUGCGACAGAGAUGCCGGUAGCAGAGCGUUUUCCUUGUUUAGGAGAGGGGCAAGAACACCCCUACUGCACCUUGCGGGAUUGCUUGGUUUCACGCUCGCCUGUGAAAAGCAGGCGCCUUUAGGGAGGGCUCCUGGGGGAAGAGGGACGAGGAAAGGGAAGAAGCACCGGAGGACACUGCGUGGCGGUGAGGAAGGGAGCUGCCCAGCUCUCGAGGCUGUUCUGCAGCAGACGCGUCGCACGAACGAGCAGUUGGGAACGGGUGUUGCCUGCAGCCCUGGGAAGAGGCAGCAGUGAGGAAGCACGCGAUGCCCAUACGGCUACAUCCAGCGGUGCGGCAAUCCGCUCCUCCUGCGGACCUGAUCCUGAGCGUUGCUCCAGCAAGGCCAGGUAUCGUGUAACUGCAGACACGCUUGGGGCGAGUGGCUGUGAGGCACGGGCAGCCCCAAACUCACCAGGAGGGCUCUUGAGGCACAGAGGUGUGUAAGAGAAGCUGGAUUUUCCCCAUUCCCUUUCCCAGUAGAUCAGCGCAAGCAGCAAGGUGUUGGAGACCUGCUUGCUCUCACGUCCGUCAAGCACUGCAAGGCUGCAGGACACAUUUUUGACCUCAUUUGCCCCCACCAUAAAUCAGGGGCUAAGUGGUGAUGUGCUCACUGCUGGGGUCGGGACAUCUGCACCACCCUGGCCUCUCUGGUGCACACUGGGGGGCAGAUUGCCAGUCAAGGGGCUAUUCUGCUCUUGAAAUGCCUGGUUCUUUGCAAAAUAGGUAUAGAGGGAUAAGGAGCCAAGUUCAGGGAGCCAGGCCCCUCUAAACCAAAAACGGCCUCAGGGACAGAAGGGAGCAAGCCACGAGGCAAUCUGCAGUGCAGCAGGAAAGCUGCUGGCUCCCUCCAGGGGCCACCAAGAAGCCAAGGACAGCUCUGCAAGAUGCAGGUAAUGGGGAGCUGCCAGGGCCAAUCUGCACUGGGCCUGGUUCCCGACACUGGGGUGUGAAGGGGAUCAUGGAUCGAGACCCACUGUGUCAAGACGGUGCCAGCCAGCUCCUGCUCCUGGACCAGAAUCCUGUCCAGGUUUGCAGAGGAGGGAGCGCAUGGACUCUGCAGCACAAGGGACUACUAUGAUGCACAAACACUCCCUCCUCUCCCGAGAUUCCUAUGGUCCCCCUUCCAAGACAAGAGGGAAAUCAAAGAGGUCAGGUGUCUCAGACUAAACCUUCUUUCUCACACACAAAGUGCCCUCGAACGCAAGCACGCACAUUUCUCCAGUGUCCCCAGGCUGCAGCUGGGGCUCUGUAGGAUUGCCCUGAGCGCACUCCCCACUGCAGCGUGGCUACACAGCCGUGAGCCCAGAGUCUGCUGUGCUGCAUUGAGCUUGUCACGAUUGCAUACAUUCUGCAGUCACAAGAGAUGAGAGCACAAGGCAGCGAGUCAGAUCAGCUGCAGCUGGGGGAGGGAGAAGCAGGAAAGGCUGGGGACAAGCAGCCAUGGUCUCGCUUUGCACGUCUCCUUCUCGUAUACCGACCCCUGCUUGUUUAGGUAAGCCAGGACCCAAAUGCCAGAUGACGGCCAAUGUACGUCCAUAAAAAAAUACCCCUCUCUCAUCCACCGUGCUUUGUGCUCAGCAAUGGGAUCCCACGUGCUCAGGGAUGCAGUCCCACCUCUGUGCCAAAGGCAGCCCAUGAGACCUGGCUGCCUGCCAUCCUGCAGUGGCCCCCAGAUGGGGUCUCACUGUGCCCGGGUUCAGCUGGGGGCAGCUCCCCGGGCCAUACACCCUGCAGCCCCAGAGCUGCACUGUCAGCCACAGCCCUGACAUCCUGCCACAGAGCCACCUCCAGCACCGGGCACAUAUUCAGAAGGAGGAUUUAUCCAAGAGCAGAUGCACUCCUGGGCCACUCGUGGCUUUAGUGGAGCCAAGUCCUGUUUUCUGAUGGAAAAACCCCGGGAAAUAGGAACUGCGCUUUGUAACAGAGGGGUUGGGUAAGGCCAUUCUAUGACUAAGUCACCACAAAGGGCAAAUUGCCACUUUAUUUUCUCUGUGGGGUUGCCCCACACUCAGGAGAGCUACACAAUUUCCCUCACAAGGGGAAAGCACAGCAGGAUCCAAGCUGAGGGCAAGGAGGAAGGUUGGCCUUCACCCCCCCCCCCCCCAAGCACCCCUUCCUCGCAGUACACAAAGCACCGGUUCCCAUCCCUCAUUCACAGGCCAGCUGGCCAGGGAGCAGCUUUACGUAUGACUGCUUCAUCCUAUACAAAUCCUGCCAUCAGUCAUUAAAGACAGAUUAAAACAAAAAAAAAAAAUACAUGUCUGUGCUCUCGAAUCACCACGUAGCAGAUGGAGCUGUCCUGCAUCCCCCUGCAUGUGCCAGGAGGGCCCCGGGUUUGGGAUAUGCUGAGAAAUACACGGACGGGUUGCAGAUGGGAUAAGGAGAAACAAAUGUGGGCAGAUGAGUGAUAUCAAAGGGUGAACUUAAAAAGAAAGAGGUUAAGGGAAAGAUGUUAACAGUCAAGUGCUUAAGAAGCUGCAGUAAGGGGAGGGGACGAUGUGCCUUCCUAUAGCGAUAUAGGUAGGAACGGGCUGAACCUGAAGCAGAAAUCAUUCGGGUAGUAGGAAAAGAGCUUUGCAGUGGAAAGGAUGCAGAAGCACUGGAGCAGCCUGGGAAGGAGGAGAAAUUCCCAUCUGGGGGAGGUACGGGGGAAGGGCCUGGCAGCACUCCCUGUGCAGUGCUGGUCUCAGCAGUCCUAUGCAGGCAUCCCCAGCACACAAAGUGACUGCUCCACUGGCAUCACGCACCCAUCUGCCCCAGAACUGAAUAUCUCCCUCCUGCCAACCCCCUCCCCUCCCAUCCAUCUUUACCUUCUUUCCCGGAGCCGAAGUGUUUCUGUGUCACCACAGAGACCUGGAAAGGGAUGGCAGAAGGCAGUGCCUGUAAAAGCCCAGGGCUGCUGUCCUGCUUUGAGAACAGGGCAGAGGCAUCCCGACAGCAGCGAUCGAAUUCAAGGUGUCAUUGUCCUUUUCUUCCAGAAAGGUAAGAGCUUUCCAGAAAGACUCACAGCUCCAGGCUGCUGCGCCAGGUGUACAAUAAGAUCAAGCCCACAGAAUCAAUCCAGUUUGGGGUUAUUCCCUCACCCAAUUUGUCCCACGCCAGCUCAAAACCGACCGAUUAAGCUCUAAUACCCCCAGGUGAUGUAUCCCAAAUGCCAUCCCGGAGGGACCGCUGUUUUCUCUGCUCUCCUAAUAGGCCCCUUUCUGUGAGCAGCACACCUUGUUGGGUGCGUUUGCAGAAAUAGGAAAUCAGAGGUAACCCGAUGUGUACAGGAGGGCAUCGGCUGUAAGGCAGGUACACAUAUGGCCGUGUCUUGAAGAUGACAUGCGCAGGGGACCUGCAGAAUCAGAGAAGCAUUCAGAGAAGUUGCUCAAGGAUCCUGCCCUCCAUCUGCCCCUCUCUCCGGAGGGGUUUUGGGGUUGUCAGGAACAUUCACCUCACCUGCAGCACAGCUUUCCCAGCCCGGGCUGUGUGCUCUGAGCCUAAGCUAAGGGGCUCUGUCCAUGGGGACGGCCUCUCCACUGCACAGUCCGUGCUGCAGAGCGGCUCUCCCCAUCACACAAUGGCUGCAGGGCCAUUACAGCACAAGGAUCACCUUCAGGAGGUGUUCUCGUAGCCCUGCAGGUAACUCCACCGGCAGCUGCUUGAGCAGGCAGCACCUUCUUAAAUUCCUAUCGCCCUUCUCACAAAGGAAGAGCCGAGACAAAACCGGUUCCUGCUUAAGCGGAGGAAACAAUAGCGGGACAAAGCCACACUCCGUGCUGCAAAGGCGCGGGUGGCCGCAGGAUGGCACUCCUGCCGCUUGUCCUUGAGGGACGGGAGAGCUGUGCCGGG
ensembl:lncRNA